rnacentral:rRNA from 1 species
UACCAACACCCCGAGUGGUCGGGACGUUUAUUGGGCGUAAAGCGUCCGCAGGUGGCACUUCAAGUCUGUCGUCAAAGACUGGGGCUUAACCCUGGAAAGGCGGUGGAAACUGAAGCGCUAGAGUGCGGUAGGGGUAGAGGGAAUUCCCGGUGUAGCGGUGAAAUGCGUAGAGAUCGGGAAGAACAUCGGUGGCGAAAGCGCUCUACUGGACCGCAACUGACACUCAGGGACGAAAGCUAGGGGAGCGAAUGGG